rnacentral:rRNA from 1 species
AUUGAACGCUGGCGGCAGGCCUAACACAUGCAAGUCGAGCGGGGUUUUCGGACCUAGCGGCGGACGGGUGGGUAAUGCGUAGGAAGCUGCCCGAUAGAGGGGGAUACCAGUUGGAAACGACUGUUAAUACCGCAUAAUGUCUACGGACCAAAGUGUGGGACCUUCGGGCCACAUGCUAUCGGAUGCGCCUACGUGGGAUUAGCUAGUUGGUGAGGUAAUGGCUCACCAAGGCGACGAUCUCUAGCUGGUUUGAGAGGAUGAUCAGCCACACUGGAACUGAGACACGGUCCAGACUCCUACGGGAGGCAGCAGUGGGGAAUAUUGGACAAUGGGCGCAAGCCUGAUCCAGCCAUGCCGCGUGUGUGAAGAAGGCCUUCGGGUUGUAAAGCACUUUCAGCGAGGAGGAAGGGGUGUGUGUUAAUAGUACACACCUUUGACGUUACUCGCAGAAGAAGCACCGGCUAACUCUGUGCCAGCCGCCGCCGUAAGAC